rnacentral:lncRNA from 1 species
GAGCGAUGCAAGGACCAGAACUGGUUGACUCGAGGAGUCGUUUUCGAUUUAUUGAAUCCUGUCUCGGCUUGAUGGGCUCUUUGUGCAUCAGCUAUGCGAUCUGGACCCCUCGGUGGCUGGAUGACCGAGGUCUGUGGACCUCAGAGAAUCAGACCAGACUGGACGACAGAUGGACCACUGAAGACAUUGCUAAAGCUCUGGAGGCUGAGAGAGUGCUUGCAGUGGUGGCUUUCCUCAUGUCGGUGAGCUCUGGACUGCUGUGUCUCAUGUUCGCCCUCUGCUGGACGUCUCAAACGGUGCGUUCCUACUCGAACACUCGCUCGCUGCUGAUGGCAGGCCAGGCGAUCGACCCGACCACACUACUGCUGCUCACACUAUUACCUACAGGUCAGUACCUCGCUAUUUAGCUUUCCUUAGCCAUGUAGUAUACACGUUUUAACCUUCUACAUUUUCUUUUUCCCUACAGGAUUUUUCUUUUUUCUCAGCUGGGCGCUUUUUACCCAUCAACAUAUUGGUGAGAUCAGGGAAGACGUCAGUCGACUCGGCCCGUCCUAUUGGCUGGGAGUGGUGGGUUGGGCUUCGCUAUUGGCCGUGCUGCCUGUGGUCUUCCUGGCGGAGAAGUUUGUGGUUCCUGACAUCCUGCCGGAGUUAAAAAAGGCUGCCGAAAUGUGGUGGAAGGCUCCGGAGGUUGCACACGCGCGAUCGUUUAGUGAGGGUUUCCAUCAUUCACAUCAUAAGUCUCAUCCUGAUGUUAGGAGGUAUUUGUCAGUGCCUUGAAUGAGAGGAAGGAGGUAGCAAGGGAAUACAGAAGAGAAGAGACUCUGGUCUCGCUGGUCAACUAGCCAAAUAUAUGAGCUGAGCAUAUGUCUCACAACAGGGGUCAAAGACCUGGAUGAGAAACCUGUAACUGCUUUCUGGGAUGUGGGACACAAAGCUACAGGUUAUAAGGUUGUGUGCUGGCUUUGACAGUGGUUUCACAGCUGUAUUUGGACGAGGACACCCAAAAAUGUGGUUAAAGGACUAACAGAGUUCACUAUCUGUGUGAAACAUAAAGCUGAAAGGAUCUUUAAGUUGCAGACAGACCAUUUCUCCAUGACUUUUCAUAGUCGUUGUCUGCAGUUGCCAUUCUGUGAAUUAUACAGUGACUUUCAGGGAG